GUGCCAGCAGCCGCGGUAAUACGGAGGGUCCGAGCGUUAUCCGGAAUCAUUGGGUUUAAAGGGUCCGCAGGCGGUCAAUUAAGUCAGAGGUGAAAUCCCAUAGCUUAACUAUGGAACUGCCUUUGAUACUGGUUGACUUGAGUCAUAUGGAAGUAGAUAGAAUGUGUAGUGUAGCGGUGAAAUGCAUAGAUAUUACACAGAAUACCGAUUGCGAAGGCAGUCUACUACGUAUGUACUGACGCUGAGGGACGAAAGCGUGGGGAGCGAACAGGAUUAGAUACCCUGGUAGUCCACGCCGUAAACGAUGGAUACUAGUUGUUGGGCAUUAGCUCAGUGACUAAGCGAAAGUGAUAAGUAUCCCACCUGGGGAGUACGGUCGCAAGACUGAAACUCAAAGGAAUUGACGGGGGCCCGCACAAGCGGUGGAGCAUGUGGUUUAAUUCGAUGAUACGCGAGGAACCUUACCAGGGCUUAAAUGUAGUCUGACAGCUUUAGAGAUAGAGUUUUCUUCGGACAGAUUACAAGGUGCUGCAUGGUUGUCGUCAGCUCGUGCCGUGAGGUGUCAGGUUAAGUCCUAUAACGAGCGCAACCCCUGUCAUUAGUUGCCAGCAUGUAAAGAUGGGGACUCUAAUGGGACUGCCGGUGCAAACCGCGAGGAAAGUGGGGAUGACGUCAAAUCAUCACGGCCCUUACGUCCUGGGCCACACACGUGCUACAAUGGUAUGGACAA
rnacentral:rRNA from 1 species